GACAAACGGAUCGAGUUAAGAUUUAUUUAGUAAAAAAGGAGGUUAGGUGAGGAAUGAAAUUUGGGAAUCUGCUUUUUUUAUAGAGGUGAAAUUUGUAUAGGAACGGUUAGUCUUUUAUUCCCUGUCUCUGACGCCUCGAAAGUUUAGUAUAAGACCGGGAUUAGAUACCCCGUUAUUUAUCCUGUAAACUUUAAUUUAUUUUAAUUUACUUGGGUAUUACGGGUUGCGGCGAAUUUGUUAACGUUUGCAUGUGCUUAAAACCCAAAAAACUUGGCGGUGCCCUAAUUCUUUCUGGGGGAACCUGUCCUGUAAUCGAUGGUCCGCGAUUUAACUUACCUUGUUUUGAAUAGUUGAUAAUUUAUUAAUAGUGCAGCCUGUAUACCGUCGUCGUCAGAUUACCUUUAAGAGAUUAGAAGUUGUCGGGAGGAGUAGGUUCGUUUGGUUUACUCUUAGGUGAGUAGAUUAAGUUCUAGAUUCUAGAUGUCAGAUCAAGGUGCAGUUUAUGGCAAGGGAGAGAUGGGUUACAAUAAUUAUUUAUUAUACGGAGUUUAUUUUGUAAAAAAUAAGUUGAAGGUGGACUCGGGAGUAAUGUGAUUUUAUUAGAGUGUUUUUGUGAAAAUUAGUGCUGGGGUGCGC
rnacentral:rRNA from 1 species